rnacentral:rRNA from 1 species
UGGGGAAUAUUGGUCAAUGGGCGAAAGCCUGAACCAGCAAUGCCGCGUGAGUGAUGAAGGCCCUCGGGUUGUAAAGCUCUGUCAGUGGGAACGAAGAAGCCGUUUAAUACACGGUGGUGACGGUACCCACAAAGGAAGCACCGGCUAACUCUGUGCCAGCAGCCGCGGUAAUACAGAGGGUGCAAGCGUUGUUCGGAAUUACUGGGCGUAAAGCGCGUGUAGGCGGUCUUGUAAGUCGGUUGUGAAAUCCCUUGGCUCAACCAAGGAACUGCGUCCGAAACUACUUGACUUGAGUAUCGGAGGGGAUGGCGGAAUUCCCGGUGUAGAGGUGAAAUUCGUAGAUAUCGGGAGGAACACCUGUGGCGAAGGCGGCCAUCUGGAAGAUUACUGACGCUGAGACGCGAAAGCGUGGGGAGCAAACAGGAUUAGAUACCCGUGUAGUCC